UUUCACAUGGCCUUUUCAUUGUUUUGUGUUUUCGUUGUUGUUAUAUUCCAAGUCACAUUUAUUGAAGCGGAGUGGAGUGGAGAGUUAUAUUUGUCAGGUUCGAAGGCAUUUUAAUUGGUUAUAAGCAGAGCUCCCGUGAGCAGAGCUCUGCUCUCGCUGCGUCACACGGGGCGUAUGGAUAAUACUCGUAAAUCGCCCCGAAUCUCCCCCGCCUAACACCCAUGGAUUUCAGAUUUUAUCGAUUUGCCUGACGAUUUCAGGC